UCGUAGUUGGAUACGAAUAGGCCUCCGGGCCAUGCACCUGCAGGCUGGCGACGGCUCCCUUGGAGAAACCCUUUGGAGCUGGCUGGCGAAUUGCAAUGUCACCUCGCGCGGUGAUAGAUCCUCUGCAGACGACUGAUGUGACCAAGCGGGUCGUGUAAGCUGUCGAGUGGCCUUGUUGCUACGAGUCGCUGAGCGUCAGCCCGACCUUUGCUAGAUUU
rnacentral:rRNA from 1 species